CACAUAUUAGAAAACCUAGACUAGACAAUUAAAAAUAGAGAACCCUUCCUCUGCAAAAAACCUAGAGAAACAACGUCGUUCCCCAUCUUCCUUCUUCAUUCUUCUCUCAUCUUCCAUCUUCUCUCAUCUUUAAUAGACAUCAGACGGAUACCCUCCCUCAAAAGCUUCAAAAACAAGGAAAAAAAAAAGAAAAAGAAUCACGAAGAAUUUAAAUCUGGUCCGAUUUUUGCUGCAUUACUUCUACAUCUCAUGGGUGUUCGAGUUUGAUUUCGAUUUCAGAAGUCAAAGCUGUGUUUUGCUGAAUUCGUUGUUGCUCCGUACCCAAACUUAUUCAUGUUUUUUAGCUAAGAGGUAAAUUCAGAAAACCCCUUUGUAUUUGCCAUAUUUAUUGACGAUCGGAUUUCUCUUUCCUGCUCGAAAUUGGGUCUUACUGUUGGUUCUACAUUUGUUUGCCUCUGAAUUAUUUAAUAAAUUCUUUAUAUGUGAGAGUAAAUUUCAUAAUGAGUUUGUUCAUUGCAACUGUUGACAUUGAGUCUAUUUGCUUUCCUCAGUUGUCUCGAUUUUUGCUUGAAAUUGUCUGUUCCUUUUGCUGUCAAUGAUUUGUUUACAUUUACUGUUAAAUUAUGCGUUGUUAAGAACUUCUACCUUCAUGGUUGUUGAGGUCUUAUUGAAUUGAUAUUUAUUUGAGCAUGAGGAUUGAAUUCGUGUUAAGUAUUUUGUUUCGAGUUGAAAAUUCGUGAUGCACUAGCUACUGUGUUUCAGCUAGUUGGUCAAUUGAUUCCAUGUAUUGGAAACAAUAGAGUUGCUACCUAACAAUGAAGUUCCAGUUCUAUAUUUUAGAGUUGGCACCCCUUAUGAGUAUCUUGAAGUUCCAUUAAUUUCAAAUAGCAUUUGUUUCGAUUUUAGUCACUUAGCAGUUUUAGUGAUUUCUUUGAUUGAUUCACUGGUUCUUUAGAGUUUAGAAUGUUUUUCCGUCUCUCAUCCUUUUACUAGUCGUAUUAGUAAAGACAUAAGCAUAAAUUGUUGGGUUGUAACUUUAAAUUUUUGUAGUAUCUUUUUUAGUAGAUUCAUAAUAGCUAAAAUCAUAUAUUUUUUCCACAAUAAUCUUCCAUAACUCAUGCCUCACAAUAAUCUCAAAUCUUAAAGAAAGAUCACUCAUGAACAUUGUAGCUUGCUUUAGGCGCGAUUAACAAUCAAACCAUCGUGACUAUGGGUACGGUUCCCAUGGCAUAGUUGUGAUACCUAAUUCUCAAAUUCGGGUGUGCAUUUCAUGUGACCCGAACAUAACAACUUCGAAUAAUUAUAAAAUAAACAUGUCGCGAAUCGCGGGUGCAUUUCAUGUAGCGUGGUUUGUGGUGUGUUCCAAAAUGGCAAGUGUACGACAAUCGUAACUUGUUCAAGAAAUAAUUCCAUAAAUUCUAAAAAGCGGUUAAAAUAAUUAAAAGCAGUUAUAAAGUUAUAAAUUCACACUAGGUUUAAAACAUGUAAUAAAUCAGAUAAUUAGGCCGAUUAUUAAUAGUUAAGCGACCGUGCUCGAACCACGGAACCGGGAAUGCCUAACACCUUCUCCCGGGUUAAUAGAAUUCCUUACCUAGUUUUCUAAUUUUGCAGACUUUUAAAUAAAGUCAACUUUCCACGAUUUGGGAUUUUAAAAUAAACUGAUGACUUGGGACACCAUAUUAAAUAUCACAAGUGGUGAUUCUGAAUUAAAUAAAAUAAUUCCAUUUCGAUUUAUGUCACUUUAAUUGGAAAAACUCCCUUAUAACCUCCUCGGAUAAAAAAAGGGGGUGUGACAGCUCUGGCGACUAUGCUGGGGAUUAGAACCCAGAACUUCUGGUUCAGGGUUCAGAAUUCGAGCUUAGAAUAAUUAUGAUACUUGGAUUUUAUUUAUUAUCUGAUUUUUACGUGUUCAAGCCUAAUGUGCUAAAUGUCGCCUUUUACCGCUUUGAUAUUGUGUGAACUGUAUAUAAACUAUUACGAAACCCUUCUUCUCCCUGAGUCUUUUAAAUCAUCUGUAAAGUGUGCACUUCGUGUGACUUCUUUUCUGUUAGAGUCAUAUCCCAAUUUUAGAACGAGGUUCGGACAAGUUGCAAAGCCAAUGAAGCUUCUAUAUUCCCGGUACGCUGCCCCCCCUCCGGCUCGAGCUAUCCACUCGGGUAAGCCAGGUCUAGAACAAAUACAUGUAGGUUUUAAACCUAGAAUAACAUAACUCCAUUCUGGAUGCCUUGUAGGAACGUUUGUUUGCAUCACGUGCAUUUGACUUUGGGACUCAACAUAGGGGUUGGGUCCGUUUAGGACAGAUGUACCCAAAUUAAAAAGACCAUCCUGAUUCAUCUUACGUGCUACUUGUACAUCUAUUUGCUUCGCCUUGCAUGUUGACCGGCUUCUAGAAUAGGGAAAGAAAAUAGAAAAAAAGAGAAAAAAAAACCAAAAGUGAGGUAGGUAUUUGAAAAUCCUGAAACUCUUCCGAAAUUCUGAAAAAAGAAGAAGAGAAAAGUCAUUUCAAAAUGAGCCAAAAUUUUCAAGUGCCGUUGUCACGACCCUAAAACCAACCUGAUCGUGAUGGCGCCUAUCGUGAAAUUGGCCAGCCGGCACAACUCCCGAAUUAACCAUUAAUCAAUAACAAUCAUUUUUAAGCCUUUAAUUAAUUAGAUAUCUCAUAAUGUAAGUCUAAAUAAACAGUGCAGAAUUAAUACACAAGCCCGGCAUCGGGGUGUCACAAGUCACAAGCAUCUACUAAGGUCUGAAUACAACGAAGAGUCAAAAAAAGUACUAAAUACAGUCUAAGGAUGACAAGAAGGAGAAAAUCAGUGUUGCGAACGUCGGGCAUCUACCUUGCUAACUCCGAUGACACUGCCACUGAGCAAUCAACAGCCGCUACCGAGUCCAGAAACACCUAAUCUGCACACAAGGUGCAUGGAGUAAUGUGAGUAUGCCAACUUAGUAAGUAAUAAAGGUAAAUGAAAGCUGAGCAGUAAGAAAACACGCAAACCACGUCAAAAUGAUACAAUAAAAACAGGACAUUUCCAGCACAGUACAUAAAUUAUUUACUUCAAAAAUCAUGCUCAAUUUUAGUAAAAACCUUUUAAAACAACUUUCAAUAGUUUCAAAUGAGUGAUAAGACAGUGAGUAAAACUUAUAGAAAACGUAACCAGCCCCUCGGGCAAAACAUGUAUCACAUACGGCCCCUCGGGCAUAUCAUCAAUAGAACCAUCCCCUCGGGCUACCUCACAAUCACUCAUAAUUAGCCCUUUGGGCACAAUAUGAAUCAAGAACCGCCCCUCGGGCAACAAUAUGAAUCAAACAACAGCCCCUCGGGCUAUAUCACAUCACUCAUACUGGGUACCCGCACUCACUAGGGGUGUACAGACUCCGGGAGGGGCCCCUUACGGCCCAAGCGCAAUAACAAGCCAUCUCAUGGCAUAAUCAAGCAUGCUCUUGGCCUCAUAUCAAGCCACCUCGUGGCAUAACAAAUCAAGCCCUCGGCCUCGUAAUCAUAAAUCAAUACCACACUGCUGCGGCACGCAGCCCGAUCCCAUAAUAUCCUCACAACAUAGGCCCUCGGCCUCACAUAGUUAGAAAUCUCUCAUUCCACUUAGGCAACAGUAAAACAUGAUGCUCAGCCCAAAAAUAUCAUUUAAAACAUCAAAACAGAGUAAAUAUGGCUGAGUUAUGAAAACAGUAGAAAAUAGCAUGAUUGAGUACAAUUAUGAAGUCAAACCAGUGAGGAAUAGUAGAAAAAAUCCCCUAAGGGUCCAAAACAGUUGGCACGAAGCCCAAAUAUGGCAUUCAGCCAAAAUAUGAUAAUACUUUCCAAAACACAAUGAUAUUAAAUAGUUUUCAAUCAAAUAGGCAGUUUAACAAUCAUACGGGACGGACUAAGUCACAAUCCCCAACGGUGCACGACCCCACGCUCGUCAUCUAGAGUGUGCGUCACCUCAAAGUAGCACAACGAUGUGAAAUCCGGGGUUUCAUACCCUUAGGACAAACAUUUACAAUCAUUACUUACCUUAAUCCGGUCCAAACUCUAGCCCGCGAUGCCUUUGCCUCUCGACACGACCUUUGAAUGCUUCAAAUCUAGCCAAAAGCAAAUUCAUACCAUCAAAAUAUGCUAAGGGAACAAGGCCCACUCGAAAAUAUCCAAUUUAUACCAAAAAUUUCGAAAUUGACCAAACCCUGCCCCGGGCCCACAUCAUGGAAUCCGAUAGAAAUUAUAUCAAUAGAAUCCUUACACUCUCACGAGUUCGUACAUAUCAAAUACAUCAAAAUCCGACAUCAAAUGCACAUUCAAAUCCCCAAAAGAAUUCUCGAAUUUUUCUUCCAUUUUCCCCCAAUUUUCACUAUAAUUUCUCAAAUUAAAUGAUGAAUUCAAGACUAAAUCAUGGAAUUAAACCAAAUAUGGGUGAAGAAUACUUAUCCCAAUUGCUCCACUGAAAAUCUCCUCCAAUUUCACCUUCUCCCAAGCUCUCCAAUGGUUUUUGUGAUAUUGGACUUAAACCCUCGAUUUCCAAAUAUAAUCUAUCUGCCCAGAUAUUUUCUUCAUCGCGAACGUGGCAACACCCUUGCGUUCGCGAAGCACAAAGCUUCACUGAACAAAAUUCCUCCUAUGCGAACACGAGUACCCUCUCGCGAACGCGAUGCACAAGUGACUCACCUAUUCACGAACGCGACCUCUACUAUGCGAACACGUAAAACAAAUGCCUAGGGGUCCCAGCUAUUCCACUUCCUCUACGCGAAUGCGACCAAACCCUCGCAAACGCGAUGACCACGAACCUCAGCCCUUCGCAAAUGCGGGACCUACUUCGCGAACGCGAAGGCCAACUCUACUGCCUCACAUCCUAACCCUUCGCGAAUGCGGAACAUCCAUCGCGAACGCGAAGGUCAAAAACCGGCGACACCAACCGCAGUUUUUCUGCAACUUUUUCCAACAUGAAAUGAUCUGUUCAACCACCCGAAACUCACUCGAGGCCCUCGGAACCUCAACCAAACAUGCCAACAUAUACCAUAAUAUCAUUCAAACUUGUUCCAACCUUCGGAACGCUCAAGACAACCUCAAAACACCAAAAUCACAUCUAAUUCAAGCCUAAGAAUUCCACAAACUUCCAAAUUUUGCUUUCAAUCAAAAAGCCUAUCACACACGUCACAAAUGACACAAUGGACCUACUCCAACUUCCGGAAUUCCAUUCCGACCUCUAUAUCAAAAUCUCACAUAUCAACUGGAAAACGCCAAAAUCCCAAUUUCGCCAAUUCAAGCCUAAACCUUCCACGAACCUCCAAAAUAUAUUCCAAUCACCCUCAUAAGUCCCAAAUCAUCUAACGGAUCUAACCAAAUCCUAAAAAUUUCAAUCCAAGAUCAUAUACUAACAAGUCAAUACUUGUUCAAACCUUUCAAAUUUUAAGCUUCGAACUGAGAAUUGUUCUUCCAAAUUCAUUCUGAUUACUCUGAAAACCAAAACAGACGAUUUACAUAAGUCAUAGUACAUCACACGGGGCUAGCCAUGCCCGAGAACUGACGAGCAAAGUGCAAAAGCUCAAAAUGAUCUGUCGGGUCUUUACAGCCGUGUUCCCCUGUGCCAUCAAAACUGACCGAACUACGCGGGUCUGAUUCUCAUCGGAUGUGAGAUACGUAGGCAAACCUAAUUGGUUCCGGCACAAAUUUUUUAAAAAAAAAAUCCAAAAAGAAUUCUUUAAUUCCUUCCUUAGAAGCAUUUCCUUAGAAAAUUCAAAAAAGAAAAGAAAAGAAUUUUAAACUCAAAAAAAAAAAUCCUUCUUUUCGAAGUCUUUCAUAUGGAAAAUGAAAUAAAAAGAAAAACAAAAUAAAAAAAAAUCAAAAUCCAAACUACAGGUUUCCUUUAUUUUGAAGUAUUUUUCUCAAAAAUAAAAAUAAAAAAUAAAAAUAAAAAUCCAAAAAAAAAUAUUCUUUUCCUUCUGUAGAAGUCUUUCUUUCAUAAAUGUCACAAAAAAAACAUUUUGAGAAAAAUUGAAGUCCAAAAAUAUUUUCGCUUUUCUUUAGAAGUACUUUUAUAAAUAAAUUAUAUAAAUAAAACUUAGAAAUCCAAAAUAUUUUCUUAAAAGUCCCUCUUUCGAAAAUUAAGAGGCAACAUCCAAAAUCCAAAAAAUUUUCUUUCUUCUUUAGAAAAAGAGAAAACAAAUAAAAAUUCAAAAAAAAAAUAUUUUUUUUUACUUUUGGAAUUCCCAAAGUGCAAAUCAAAAGAAAAGGAAUUGUUAGAAGUCUUUCUUUCAAAGAAUAAAAAAAAGGUCAAAAUCAAAAAUCCAAAAAAUAUUUCCUUUCUUCUUUUAAAGCAUUUCUUUCAGAAAAAACAAAGUCAAAAAUUCAAAAAAAAAUAUGUUUUUCUUUUUCUUAAAGCUUUCAUGGUCAGAGUUUUAUAAAAGUAAAAAAAAAAAAAGAAAAGUUAGCUUAUUUACUCCAUUCUUGAUUUUUCCAAACUAUGCAAGAUCUGAUUCAUACAACGUCAUGAUACAUAGGCAAUACCCAUCGGAUUCGAUCAUAGCCAUAAAAUUAAUUGAGUGAAAAAUAAACUGAAAAAAGAGAGAAAGCAAAAUUGAGUGAAAAAAAAAGGAAAAAAAAGGAGAGCGACAAGAAAUAAAAGAGUGAUAAACAAAAAGAGAAAAAGAGAGUGCAAAAAAAAUAAAAGAGCAACAUAAACAAAAUGAAGAAAAAAAAAUCAAGAGUGAUUAAAGAGAGGCAGAAAUAAAAGAAAAGAGGUACAUACUGAAAGAGUUAGUUAAGGUCAGGAUGAAACAUGCAACCGCUCAAACACAUGGUAGAAGCGUUUAACUGUUAGGUGCAUUGCAUCCCAACGUGCAGUUUUCUAUAUGUUAAAUGUCUCAAAACUAAUAGGGUUGUUGGGUGUGUAAACAAGCCAGAUUCUGGUAAUUGGUUUUGUUGGUGGCCUAGCCUCCCCUCAUUCACAAGAUCCAAAGGCACAGAUGGCCUCCACAAGCAAUUUACCAAUCAUCGGUCUUGAGGAUAGCCCGACAUCGGCUAUUCUGCAGCUAGAAUCAGCAGCUGCUGAAGAGAAUAAGAUGUUGCAUCUCUGCAUAUUGGAAAUGUGGGACGCCUGGUCUAAUGGUAGGGAACCGCCAAGUGCAAUCCCUGGGUUCCCUGAGUUGAUCCCCAGGUCAGGUGAGGUUACCAACGCCCUUGUGCCCAACCCACUCAUCCCAUGCGGGCACCCUCCAAUGUUCCUGGCAUGCUUUAUGUGGUUCACCCCCAGGCGCCAGUUUCCAGGGCACCUCCAAUAUUGUUCUCUAUAACACCAGUCUGCACCAGAGCGCAACCAACUUUACCACGACCAUAUGUUGAGACUCUAAUGUUCACCUUUCAGGGUCCAAAACAUCAGUCAGAAAUAGCAUAUGUGACCCCAUACUCUUUCACUCAACCUCCGAAAUAUGAUCUCUCGAUGGAGCAAGAAAAGGUCCUUAAAAAUCCCGAGCAAGAGGAAAUGGCUCGGAUGAUGAAGAGCUUGGAACAAAUCCUAAAAAACAUGCAAGGUCUGAGUGGCCAAAAGAGUGUCGCAUACUCUGACCUCUGUAUGUUUCCCCAUGUCCACCUACCAACUCGCUUCAAGAUGCCAAAAUUUGAAAAGUACGAUGGGCACAGAGACCCCGUCGCUCAUCUAAAAUGAUAUUGUAACCAGCUGAGGGGUGGUGGUGGAAAAGAGGAGCCGCUAAUGGCCUAUUUUGGGGAAAGACUCCCCAGAAUUGCUUCUGAGUGGUAUACGAAUCAAGAAAUUACCUAUUGGCAUGUGUGAGAUGAUAUGGCUCGAGAUUUUGUCCGCCAGUUCCAAUAUAAUGUGGACAUCGCUCUCGACAAAAACUCUUUAUCCAAUUUGAAAAAGAAAACCGCGGAAAACUUCCACGAAUAUGCCGUCAAAUUGAGUGAGCGAGCUCCCAAGGUAAAGCCACCAAUGGACGAAAUUGAAAUGUCCAUGGUCUUUUUGUAGGCCCAAGAGGCUGACUACUUCCAGAACAUAAUGUCUUCUAUGGGUAAGCCGUUCCAUGAGGCUAUCAAAAUUGGGGAAAUGGUUGAAAACGGUUUAGAAAAAGAUCGAAUAUUGAGUCAUGCUGCUUUUAAGGCCACAUCACAGUCUACUCAAAUUGGUUCGGAGGGUUUGAUGAAUAGAAAUGGGAGUGAAGAGGGAGCCAUAAUGGUUUCAAGCUCGAGGGGGGCCCGCAAAUCAUUCAGCAAAUCAUAUGUGCCUCCUAUCGUCCCACCACACUAUUAUCCCCUUCAAGAUGCUGCUUAUGCCGUGGCACCGCCUCCCUAUGCGGUGAUGAACGUGCAACCUUACCCGUGACCACAACAUUAUCCACAAAACCGAGCUCCACCUCCCAGAAAUGCCAAUCCUUACCAAGCUCUAUAUAAUCCUCAACCAAAUGAUACCCUAUACAAUCCUCGCCCAAAAGAGCUUUUUAGAAAGAAUCAGUUCACCCCUAUUAGUGAAUCGUAUUCAAGCUUGUUCCAAAAGCUAAUAAGGUUAAAUUUAUUACAGCCAGUGGCCCCAAACCGGCCAAACCCCGAGUCCCCUUCUCACCGAGCUGACGCUAGAUGUGAAUACCACUUUGGAGUAGUAGGACACAAUACGGAGGACUGUUGGACCCUCAAAAGGGCAGUUGAAGAUUUGAUUGAAGCUGAAAGAAUCAUUUUUCGAGAUGAAGAAGCUCCUGAUGUGAUGAACAAACUGUUGUCUGCUCACAACACUAGGCCAAUAGUCGGAAUGAUUUGUGAAGAUGAGGAAUUUGAUCCGGCACUGAAGGCUAUUGCAGCCAUUGCCGAAAUAGAAGAAAAGCCGAAAGACGGUCGCCAAGCUUGAAAGUUCCCCAUCAGACGGGAAUCUCAGUAGCCAGUCUUGCUAUCCUUUAUGCAUCCAGAUUAUCUCAGGAAACACCCGGAUGUUUUACUUUAUUGUCUUACUUUCCAAUGCUAACCCUCCUAUCUUUUGAAAUUCAAAACAAAAUUAAAAAAAAUCAAAAAUAAAAAUCAAAAAUCAAAUGAAAUUAAUAUUUCAUUGUCUAGGAAUGUCUCUUUUCUUAAUUUCACUUUUAUUAUUCUCUUUUUAGUUCUGUUAAAUGUAGAUUUCAAUAAUAUGACAUGCUUGCGGACUUCGUGCCCAGAUCCUAAAAUGUUGUCAGACUUCGAAAUAAUAAAUCAAGAAUCAGAAUGCAAUAAAGAUAAGUUUAAGGAAAUAAAAUAAAGAGUUGGAACAACUGAAGGAAAAAUGGUUCCUGAUUGAAAAGGUCCAAAAAUUGCAACAAGAGUACUGCCAAAAGAGUGUGUUGUACUUGGGACACAUCGAAGGAAAUGUCCCUGAAAUAACUGUUAAUGCAAAUGCAGUCAAAAGGUACUAUGUUAGAUACUCUAUAUAACAUUCUCUGAUUGGGAUGAAGAAGACUUUCUUUCUCACUAUCCAAAUAUUCAACCCUUUGCAAAUCCUUUGCGCCAACUCCCAAUCUUUGACUACUCUCUUUGGAACUUGAAAGUGUUAUUGAAAAAAAAGAAAUGAAAAAUGAAAAAAGAGAAGAAAAGAAAGAUACAAAAAAGGAAGAAAAGGAAAUAAGAAAAAGAAAUGAAAAAUGAAAAAAAAAGAUGAUGAAAAAGGAAAAAGAAAGAGAAAACAAAACAAAACAGAAAAAAAAUAAAAGAAAAUAAAAAACAAAGUUUCUUGAACUACGUUCGACUUGAUUCCGAAAGGAUACGUAUGCAGCGUCUCUCUGGGGUUCACACACCAAAACAAAAAUCCACAUUUCACCAAAGUUUAAAUGGGGGCAGAAGUUAUAAUGGUUCGACGAUGAUUUCGCCUAAAAGGUUCCAAAGUUGUAAUUCAAUCCAAAUUCUUUUUACCCCAAAUCCUGUUCAAGUCCUUUCGAUCAAUCGGUGAGAAUGUUCAAGGAUCGGAGAAUAUAGCUACUUGGAUCCGAUUUAAUAAAAAUGAGAGAAAUAAAAUGAGAGAGUCUUAUUGGUGAAAAUCCACACAGGCACCGUGAGGUGACAGUAAGCAAAGAAAUAAAAUGAGAGAGUCUUAUUGGUGAAAACCCACACGGGCACCAUGGGGCGAUGGUAAGCAGAGAAAUGAAAAAUGAUAGUCUUGUUAGUGAAAAAUCGCAAAAAGCACUAUAAGGCGAUGGUGAGAAAAGAAAUGAGAGAGGUUAGCUGGUGAAAACCCGCAAAGGGCGCCCCUGAUCAAAAAGAGGAUUUUCCGUCAUUAACAUUGACGUAGUCCUGGGCAAGGUUUCUCGAUUUUGAGGUAACAUUUGUGAUGAAUUUCUGAGAGUCAGACAGUUUACACAGAUCAAGCAUCCAGUCUAAAAGGCAUGUCAUGUUCAUUGAAGUCUGCAUGUACUCCAGAUAAGUCCUUCUUUCCUUUCCCCGAAAGGGAUACCUCUUGUCUAAAUUCAUUUGUGAAUUCCAUUGUGUGCUUUUAUUUGAAUCCCUUUCGGUCUAACUAUGUUCCGAAACUAAUACAAAGAAGGGAUGGCAAGAUUGAUUUACAGGUUUCUCAUUUGAUACAAGCUAAUAUGCAAAAAGGGUACCCAACAUUGUCAGGGGCAUCAAGUCGAUCUCGACUGGCCCUGGUGGCCGAUGCUUCGAAAUCAAAACUUUUGGAAGGAGAAAAUCAAAUUGAAGUGCCUACAAGGGCAAAUGAAGUUGAAAAGGUUGAGUCCCACGCAGCUAACCGUCCUGGCAAGGUUUGAAAAGCAAAUAUACCCCAAAUUCUCUGGAAUUAAAGUUGGAAGAAAGAAGCCAGAAAUGAAAGGUCUAUGAAGGCGAAAUAAAGUUGGAAAGGGCUAAGUCUCACGCGACUAGCCGGUGCGACAAAGUUUGAGGAGCAAAAAGUUCCCCAAUGCUUUGAAGUUAAAAAAAAUAAGUCAAAAGGGAAAGGCCUACGAAGACAAAAUAAAGUCGAUAAGGUUGAGUUCCACCGACCAACCGUCAUGGCAAAGUCUGGAAAAAGCAGAGGUUCUCGAGGACCUGAAAUGAAAUCGGUCCUCAGGGAACAAGCAGUUGCAGUUGAGAUCUUCAUCAAAGAAAUGGAGAUGAGAUCAAGUGAUUGAAACAAUCAAGGCCACAAAACCAACCACCGUUUCAAACUAACAAUUGUUCUUUGUUUGAAAACAGGAAACAUGUGCAAUCCAAAGCAACCUUGCAAGAAGCAGGUGCAACCAAAAAGAAACUGCGAAAGGGCUAGAAACACCUUUGCAGCAAUAAUCAAUCCAAAAGGGAAGUCUCCUCCAAAUUCGUUCCUGUAUUUUUACUCAUUUUUUAACUAAAAAAAUGAAAUGAAAAGAAAGAAGAAGAAAAAUUCAAAAUCUUGGCAACAUAGGGUCUCACUCCCUAGCUGAUGCCAGCAUAACCUGGUAAUCUUUUCCAACAUAGGGUCCCACCCCUAGUUGAUCCCGACAUAACCCGAGGACUUUUCCGACAUAACCCGAUGACUUCCCCAGCAUAACCCGAGGACAUUUCCGGCUUUACCCGAUGAAUUCCCCGGCAUAAUCCGAGGAUCUUUCAGGCAUAACCCAAUGACUUCCCCGGCAUAACCCGAGAACCUUUCUGGCAUAACCCGAUGACUUUUCCGGCAUAACCCGAUGACUUUCCCGACAUAACCCGAGGACCUUUCCGGCAUAACCGGAUGAAUUCCCCGGCAUAAACCAAAGACCUUUCCAGCAUAACCCGAUGACUUCCCUAUCAUAACCUAAGGACCUUUCCGACAUAACCUGAUGACUUCCCCGGCAUAACCCCGAGGACCUUUCCAGCAUAACCCGAUGACUUUUCCGGCAUAAACCAAGGACCUUUCCGGCAUAACUCGAUGACUUUUCCGGCAUAACCCGAGGACCUUUCCGGCAUAAUCCGAUGACUUCCCCGGCAUAACCCGAGGACCUUUCCGGCAUAACCCGAUGACUUUUCCGGCAUAACUCGAGGACUUUUCCGGCAUAAUCCGAUGAUUUUCCAGCAUAACCUGGUAAUUUUUUCCAAUAUGGAGUCCCAUUCCCUAGUUGAUGCCAGCAUAGCCUGGUAAUCUUUUCCAACGUAGGAUCCUACUCCCUAGCUUUGCCAGCAUAACCUAGUAAUCUUUUCCAGCACAGGGUCCCAUUCCUUAGUUGAUGCCAGCGUAACCUGGUAGUCUUUCCAACAUAGGACCUCCGAUCCCCAUUUGAUUUCAUUUUAGAUAUAGGGCCCCACUCCCUAAUCUCUUUUCUCCCAAGGAUACACAAUCCUAAUUUUAUUGCUUUCAAUAAAAAAGUAGUUUAGAUUUUUGUUACAAUAACUCACGAAAUUUUCCUAGUAAAAAUUGGGGCAGAAAAUUGUGUUCGUUUGUUUGUUUUGGUUCCUAAGCAGGUUUUUACCUUGAGGCACAAGUUUCGAGGCAACCAAAAGAAAAGGUCUCGAUUCAAAUAAAAGAAAAGAAAACAAGAAAAGAAGUGAACUCUUAGGUAGAAGCUGAGAAAGAUGUGGACUGCUCAAGAUAUGAUUGAAGUCACAAGCUUUGCAUGUCCCGCCUUGAUCUGAGAAGCUGAAGAAGAAUGAACUAGCGGUUGCAACUAACGAGCAUCAAGAUUCAGAUUAGAGUCUGCAAGAAGAACCAACCAAGACUCAAUAUCUAGCUUUAGAAGGUUUAUAGAUAAGAAUCUUGUAACUCAUAGUUGAUAGGCUUAGCUACUUUAGCUUUUCAUCUUUCAUUUUGGUGUAAUAAGGAGCUCAGCAAGCAGAAACAACAGUGAAAUCACAGUUUCUCGGUAGUCCCAGCUACCAAAACUUCCAAAACUACACCGACCUGAUUCCUUUAUAGUCAAGGAUAUGUAGGCAACCUCCGAAGCAAGGUUCAGUCAAACAUUUUCAAAAUGCUUCCAAAUGGAGUUUCAAACGGGCAAAAAUUGCUCGUAGUUGCUCACUUUAUCUUUUUCCGAAAACUUUUCAUGUUUUCGAGCAAAGAGGGGCAUCUGUGAGCACCUAAUUUUUGCCCAGCAUGAAAAUAACUCCUAAAAAAUAGACCAAAAUAUAAUUUUAGUGAAUUUUAGUAGUUUUUCUUUAUUUAGUUGCAUUCCAUGCAUCUUUAAUAUUUUGAAAACGAAAAUCAUAAGAAAAAUCAUAAAAAUUAUCACAUUUUUAUUUCAUGACAUCUUAGGUUUAAUUUGUAGUUAGGAAUUUAAUUGCAUUCAAUAAACAAAAAUCACAAAAAAUUACUACAAUAGUCAUGUCCACAUUUUAACUUUUAGUUUUAAGAUAAUUAGUGUUAAAUUAAUAAAAAUAAGUAAGAUUAAAUUUACAAAAUAAUUUUAGUUAGAGCCUCCAAAUUAAUUUAAGUUAGAGCAAAAUUUAGGAUUUUAUUUGGCUUGUUCAAUUAAUUCAAUUAGAUUUUUGAAAUCAAAAGAAAACAAAGAAAAAGAAGUAGAUUUGGUCUUUCAAUUUUGUGUGGGCCAGCUUAAUUUGAAGCCUAAAAAUCCCAAAUUACCCAAGCACAUACAAUCUCAGCCCACUACCCAAAUACCCAUUCCCCUUUAUUGAAACCCUACCUCCUACACUCUAAUAUAUACACAUAUUAGAAAACCUAGACUAGACAAUUAAAAAUAGAGAACCCUUCCUAUGCAAAAAACCAGAGAAACAACGUCGUUCCUCCUCUUCCUUAUUCAUUCUUCUCUCAUCUUCAACAGAUAACAGAUGGAUCCCAUCUCUCAAAAGCUUCAAAAAAAAAGAAAAAAAGAAAGAAAAAGAACCACGAAGAAUUUAAAUCUGGUCUGAUUUCUGCUGCAUUACUUCUACAUCUCAUGGGUGUUCGAGUUUAAUUUCGAUUUCAAAAGUCGAAGAUGUGUUUUGCUGAAUUCGUUGCUGCUCCGUACCCAAACUUAUUCAUGUUUUUUUAGCUAAGAGGUAAAUUCAAAAAACCCCUUUGUAUUUUACCAUAUUUAUUGACUAUCGGAUUUCUCUUUCCUGCUCAAAAUUGGGUCUUACUUUUGGUUCUAUAUUUGCUUACCUCUGAAUGAUUUAAUAGAUUCGUCAUGUGUGAGAGUCAAUUUCAUAAUGAGUUUGUUCAUUGCAACUGUUGACAUUGAGUCUAUUUGCUUUCCUCAGUUGUCUCGAUUUUUUCUUGAAGUUGUCUUUGUUCCUUUUGCUGUCAAUGAUUUGUUUGCAUUUAUUGUUAAAUUAUGGUCUGUUAAGAACUUCUACCUUCAAGGUUGUUGAAAUCUUAUUGAAUUGAUAUUUAUUUGAGAAUGGGCAUUGAAUUCGUGUUAAGUAUUUUGUUUCGAGUUGAAAAUUCAUGAUGCACUAGCUAUUGUGUUUCAGCUAAUUGGUCAAUUGAUUCCAUGUAAUGGAAACAAUAGAGUUGCUACCUAACAAUGAAGUUCCAGUUCCAUAUUUUAGAGUUGACACCCCUUAUGAGUAUGUUGAUGUUCCAUAACUUCAAAUAACAUUUGUUUCGAUUUUAGCCACUUAGCAGUUUUAGUGAUUUCUUUGAUUGAUUCACUGGUUCUUUAGAGUUUAGAAUGUUUUUCCGUCUCUCAUCCUUUUAGUAGUCGUGCUAGUAAAGAUAUAAGCAUAAAUUGUUGUGUUGUAAUAUUAAAUUUUUUUAGUAUCUUUUUUAUUAGAUUCAUAAUAGCUAAAAUCACAUAUUUUUUCUACAAUAAUAUUCCUUAACUCAUGCCUUACAAUAAUCUCAAAUCUUAAAGAAAGAUCACUCAUGAACAUCGUAGCUUGCUUUAGGUGCGAUUAACAAUCAAACCAUCGUGACUAUGGGUACGGUUCCCGUGGCAUAGUCUUGAUACCUAAUUUUUAAAUUCGGGUUUGCAUUUCAUGUGACCCGAUCAUAACAACUUCGAACAAUAUUAAAAUAAACAUAUCGCGAAUCGCAGGUACAUUUCACGUAGUGUGGUUUGCGGUGUGUUCCAAAACGGCAAGUGUACGACAAUCAUAACUUGUUCAAGAAAAAAAUUUCAUAAAUCCUAAAAAGUGGUUAAAAUAAUUAAAAGUGGUUAUAAAUUUAAAAAUGCACACAAGGUUUAAAAAAUGUAAUAAAUCAGAUAAUUAGGCUGAUUAUUAAUAGUUACGUGACCGUGCUGGAACCACGGAGUCCGAAAAUGCCUAACACCUUCUUCCGGGUAAAUAAAAUCCCUUACCUAGUUUUUUGGUUUCGCAGACUUUUAAAUAAAGUCAAAUUUCCUCGGUUUGGGAUUUUAAAAUAAACCGGUGACUUGGGACACCAUAAUAAAUAUCCCAAGUGGCGACUCUGAAUUAAAUAAAAUAAUUCCAUUUUGAUUUAUGUCACUUUAAUUGGAAAAACUCCCUUAUAUCCCCAUCGGGUGGAAAAAGGAGGUGUGACAGCUUCUCACACAUCUUGACAUAUGGGCAUAUAGAGGUAUUUUACACUUGCUAUUUAAAAAGAAAAUGAAACAUCAUAUUCAUUAUUGAAAGGAUUUUUGGGAAAACUCACAGUUUUCAAACUUACACAUAUUUUUUGGCUGUUUUGGUUAGAGAUUUGGAAUUUUCACUAAUAUACUUGAGAAGCAGAACUAUUUUUCGGAAAUCAUGAUUUUGCUGAGCAUGUUAGCUUUGAGUUACUUCUUUUAUUACUUGUUUUAUAUUGUUAUGAACUGUUGUUAGCUACUGGAUGUUGGACCUGACCUAUGUUCCAGCUCGUAACUACUUUCAACCUAAGGUUAGAUUUGUUACUUAUUGAGUACAUGGGAUCGAUUGUACUCAUACUACACUUCUGCACCUUGCAUGCAGAUGUUGGCUGAUGAUGUUGCUGUGCUCAACGGGAGUUGUACUUGAAGACUUACAUGUGUUUCAGUUGUAGUUGCCUCUUGUUUAUAAUAGCCUUAGAUUCAUAAAACACUGUUUAUGUACUUUUCAAACAUAUGAUGUAUUUACCUCAUACCAGCUUUGUUAAUUCUAUUCUUAGAACCUCAUGAAUUGUACUACCAGUCAUUGGGGAAUAUAUCAGAUUCAAAUAUUUCUCACUUAAUUUCUUUAUUAAAUUGUUAUUGGAAUUGGAUAUUA
rnacentral:lncRNA from 1 species